rnacentral:rRNA from 1 species
UACAGAGGUCUCAAGCGUUGUUCGGAAUUACUGGGCGUAAAGGGUGCGCAGGCCGCGCGGGCAGUCAAAUGUGUAAUUCAGGGGCUCAACCUCUGGACUGCGCUUGAUACUUCCGCGCUCGAGCUUUGGAGAGGAGUCUGGAAUUCUCGGUGUAGCAGUGAAAUGCGUGGAUAUCGAGAAGAACACUUAGGGCGUAGGCAAGACUCUGGACAAAUGCUGACGCUCAUGCACGAAGGCUAGGGUAGCGAACGGG